UACGUAGGCAGCAAGCGUUGUUCGGAAUUACUGGGCGUAAAGAGUGUGUAGGCGGCGCUCUAAGUCUGUUGUGAAAUCUCCCGGCUUAACUGGGAGGGUGCGGCGGAGACUGGAGUGCUAGAGUGUGGGAGAGGUAAGCGGAAUUCCUGGUGUAGCGGUGAAAUGCGUAGAUAUCAGGAGGAACACCUGUGGUGUAGACAGCUUACUGGACCACGACUGACGCUGAGACACGAAAGCGUGGGUAGCAAACAGG
rnacentral:rRNA from 1 species